rnacentral:rRNA from 1 species
CNGGUGGCAGCAGUCGAGAAUCAUUCGCAAUGGGGGAAACCCUGACGAUGCGACGCCGCGUGGAGGAUGAAGGCCUUAGGGUUGUAAACUCCUGUCAAGAGGGAAUAAGCAAGUGAAGGUACCUCUAGAGGAAGGGGCGGCUAAUUCCGUGCCAGCAGCCGCGGUAACACGGAAGCCCCGAGCGUUGUUCGGAUUCAUUGGGCGUAAAGGGUGCGUAAGCGGAGCGGAAAGUCCGGCGUGAAAGGCAGGGGCUCAACCUCUGGACUGCGUUGGAUACUUCCGUGCUUGAGGACUGGAGGGGAGACUGGAAUUCACGGUGUAGCAGUGAAAUGCGUAGAAUAUCGUGAGGAAGACCGGUGGCGAAGGCGAGUCUCUGGACAGAUCCUGACGCUGAGGCACGAAGGCUGGGGGAGCGAACAGGAUUAGAUACCCUGGUAGUCCCAGCAGUAAACGAUGUGAGCUUGAUGUGGGGGGAUUCGACCCCUUCCGUGUCGAAGCUAACGCGAUAAGCUCACCGCCUGAGGAGUACGGCCGCAAGGCUAAAACUCAAAGAAAUUGACGGGGACCCGCACAAGCGGUGGAGUAUGUGGCUUAAUUCGAUGCAACGCGAAGGACCUUACCUGGCCUUGACAUGCAUUGUGUCGUCGGUGAAAGCCGGCUAGUCCUGGAAACAGGACGCUUUGCACAGGUGCUGCAUGGCUGUCGUCAGCUCGUGUCGUGAGAUGUUGGGUUAAGUCCCGCAACGAGCGCAACCCUUGUGGUCAGUUACUAACCGGCUUAGCCGGAGGACUCUGGCCAGACUGCCCUGUCAAACGGGGAGGAAGGUGGGGACGACGUCAAGUCAGUAUGGCCCUUAUGGCCAGGGCUGCACACGUACUACAAUGCCCGGUACAAUGUGAACCGAAACCGCGAGGUGGAG